GGAGGCACAGGCCGCCCAGGGCCACCACUGCUCAGCCGGACCAAGUGCGCAGAGCCCACGAGGGCCCCCAAGGGCCUGGCUUUUGCUGAGAUCCAGGCUCGUCAGCUGACCCUGCAGUGGGAGCCCCUGGGCUACAAUGUCACGCGUUGUCAUACCUAUGCUGUGUCCCUUUGUUAUCACUACACCCUGGGCGGCAGCCACAACCAGACCAUCCGGGAGUGUGUGAAGAUGGAGCGGGGCGCCAGCCGCUACACCAUCAAGAAUCUGCUGCCGUUCAGGAACGUCCACGUGCGUCUGAUUCUCACAAACCCUGAGGGGCGCAAGGAGGGCAAGGAGGUCACCUUCCAGACAGAUGAAGAUGUGCCUGGUGGGAUCGCCGCUGAGUCUCUCACCUUCACCCCACUAGAGGACAU
rnacentral:lncRNA from 1 species